UACGGGGGGGGCAAGCGUUGUUCGGAAUUACUGGGCGUAAAGGGCCAGUAGGCGGCCAACUAAGUCCGACGUGAAAUCCCAAGGCUUAACCUUGGAACUGCGUCGGAUACUGGAUGGCUUGAAUUCGGGAGAGGAGAGUGGAAUUCCCAGUGUAGAGGUGAAAUUCGUAGAUAUUGGGAAGAACACCGGUGGCGAAGGCGGCUCUCUGGACCGAUACUGACGCUGAGGCGCGAAAGCGUGGGGAGCAAACAGG
rnacentral:rRNA from 1 species